rnacentral:misc_RNA from 1 species
UUUUGUGCAGGGUCGGUUCCUUCUAGUUUCAAAACCCGACCCGGAUAAUGCUGCGGCCACUGCUCGUUGGUUGGUUUCUCAGAAUUCAUGGGGAACCUUGAGCACCAUCUCAAGCGAUUUUGGUGGAGCGCCUUUUGGGAAUGUGGUUUCGUUUAGUGACGGGCCACCCAGCAAGGGUCAAGGCACACCAUAUUUCUACUUAACUACUCUUGACCCAACUGCAAAGUAUGCAAUCUCUGAUGAGAGGGCUUCAUUUACACUCAGUGAGUACCCUAUUGGAACUUGUGGCAAGAUAGAUCCAGAAAACCCGACUUGCGCG